rnacentral:rRNA from 1 species
CCUACGGGUGGCAGCAGUGGGGAAUAUUGCACAAUGGGGGAAACCCUGAUGCAGCGACGCCGCGUGAGUGAAGAAGUAAUUCGUUACGUAAAGCUCUAUCAGCAGGGAAGAAAUACUGACCUUACGGUCAGCAGACGGUACCUGAGUAAGAAGCCCCGGCUCACUACGUGCCAGCAGCCGCGGGAAUACGUAGGGGGCAAGCGUUAUCCGGAUUUACUGGGUGUAAAGGAAGCGUAGACGGUGCGUCAAGUUUGGAGUGAAAUGGCGCAGGUUAACCGCGGAAAGGCUUUGGAAACUGGUGAACUAGAGUGCGGGAGGGGUAAGCGGAAUUACUAGUGUAGCGGUGAAAUGCGUAGAUAUUAGGAGGAACACCGGUGGCGAAGGCGGCUUACUGGACCGUAACUGACGUUGAGGCUCGAAAGCGUGGGGAGCAAACAGGAUUAGAUACCCGGGUAGUC